CACGUAGGGGGCGAGCGUUGUCCGGAUUUAUUGGGCGUAAAGAGCUCGUAGGCGGUUUCGUAAGUCGGAUGUGAAAACUCCAGGCUCAACUUGGAGACGCCAUUCGAUACUGCGAUGACUUGAGUCCGGUAGGGGAGUGUGGAAUUCCUGGUGUAGCGGUGAAAUGCGCAGAUAUCAGGAGGAACACCAGUGGCGAAGGCGGCACUCUGGGCCGGAACUGACGCUGAGGAGCGAAAGCGUGGGGAGCGAACAGG
rnacentral:rRNA from 1 species